GAUGAAGAACGUAGCGAAAUGCGAUAAUUAAUGUGAAUUGCAGAAUUCCGUGAAUCAUCGAGUCUUUGAACGCACAUUGCGCCUCAUGGCAUUCCGUGAGGCAUGCCCAUCUCAGCGUUAGAAAAUAUUCUCAAAUUUUAGUUUUGUGCUAAAAUUUGGAUCAUGUCAAGGAAGCUAUUACUAUUAUUGUGAUCGCUCUUUGGAAAUUGAUAGGUCUUUGAGUUGCUACUCAUAGAACGUGAUGAAUCUUUCUUCGUUCUAUUGUAAUUCACUCUGGUAGUCCUAAAACUUGUAUGCCUGUGGCAUAUCUUGUAAUUUGGCCUGAGAUUGGGUAGGGAUACCCGCUGAACUUAAGCAUAUCAAUAAGCGGAGGA
rnacentral:misc_RNA from 1 species